AGAGUGGAGUUAGAGCCAAGAAUGACUUGCCGACAAUUGCCUGAUAGCAAAACUAUGCUGCCGGGAAGUCAUUCUGGCUCUACUUUGCUCUUU
rnacentral:pre_miRNA from 1 species